AACAUUUUCAUUAGACAAUUUCUGAAAAACAUGUGUUUAUCAAUUUGUUAAAAAAAUAUUAUAAUGAGAAAUUUUAAUAGCAGACGUUCCGAUAACCUGUGAAAAGAUACUGAGCAUAAAUUUGCAUACAGACACUUUACAUCGGGAACACAGUGUUUGAGAGAUCUUUAGAAGCUUCAGGUGUCCAUCAUCACAAAUCUAAACCCACAGUCACCAUGAUCUUCAUCAGCAUCUUCAUCUGGAUGAUAACCAGCUCUUGUUUCAGAGUUCUUUAUGCAGAAUCAAGAGGUCAAGUGACGGUCAUUCAGACACCUGCAGUGAAAUCUGUUCAUCCAGGAGACACAGUUACUAUCACCUGUAAAACCAGUCCUGAAGUCUAUCAGUCUGCGGUUUAUCAGCCUCUUUUCUGGUAUCAGCAGAAACUUGGAGAAGCUCCUAAACUCCUGAUUAAAAAAGCAAAUGAGUUACACACAAAUACUCCAUCAAGAUUCAGUGGCAGUGGAUCAAAAACAGAUUUCACUCUGAGCAUCAGUGGAGUCAAGAGUGAAGAUGCAGGAGAUUAUUACUGUCAGAGUUUCCACCAUAUCAACAGUAAAAGUAUAUUCACACAGUGA